rnacentral:rRNA from 1 species
AAACUUCUUUUGACGCAGAGCAAUAAGGGACACGCGUGUUCCGAUGAGAGUAUGCGUCGAAUAAGCAUCGGCUAACUCCGUGCCAGCAGCCGCGGUAAUACGGAGGAUGCGAGCGUUAUCCGGAUUUAUUGGGUUUAAAGGGUGCGUAGGCUGUUGGAUAAGUCAGCGGUGAAAUCACCACGCUUAACGUGUUGUGUGCCGUUGAAACUGUCCAGCUUGAAUGCGCUCGUCGUGAGAGGAAUGUGUGGUGUAGCGGUGAAAUGCAUAGAUAUCACACAGAACACCGAUUGCGAAGGCAUCUCACGAGGGCGCUAUUGACGCUGAUGCACGAAAGCGCGGGUAUCGAACAGGAUUAGAUACCCUGGUAGUCCGCGCUGUAAACGAUGAUGACUAACCGUUGGUCUGGUAUGGAUCAGUGGUCAAGCGAAAGCGUUAAGUCAUCCACCUGGGGAGUACGGCCGCAAGGCUGAAACUCAAAGGAAUUGACGGGGCCCGCACAAGCGGAGGAACAUGUGGUUUAAUUCGAUGAUACGCGAGGAACCUUACCGGGGCUCGAACGGCGGAUGAAUAUGUUAGAGAGAGC